UAUCUGGUUGAUCCUGCCAGUAGUCAUAUGCUUGUCUCAAAGAUUAAGCCAUGCAUGUGUAAGUACGAGCCCGUACACGGUGAAACUGCGAAUGGCUCAUUAAAUCAGUUGUGGUUCCUUAGAUCGUUGCCCCCAGUACGUGGAUAACUGUGGUAAUUCUAGAGCUAAUACAUGCACCCAAGCCCCGAUCCCCCAGCGGAGAAGGGCGCAGUUAUUAGACCAAGACCAACGCGGGUGCGGCUGGACUCCGGUCCUCCCCCCGGUGUAACCUCUGUGGUGACUCUGGAUAACCUCGGGCUGAUCGCACGGCCACCGAGCCGGCGACGUAUCUUUCAAAUGUCUGCCCUAUCAAAUGUCGAAGGGACGUGCCAUGCCUCCCUUGUUUGUAACGGGUGACGGGGAAUCAGGGUUCGAUUCCGGAGAGGGAGCAUGAGAAACGGCUACCACAUCCAAGGAAGGCAGCAGGCGCGCAAAUUACCCACUCCUGACACGGGGAGGUAGUGACGAUAACUAACGAUACGGGACUCGAUCGAGGCUCCGUAAUCGGAAUGAGUACACUUUAAAUCCUUUAGCGAGGAUCUAUUGGAGGGCAAGUCUGGUGCCAGCAGCCGCGGUAAUUCCAGCUCCAAUAGCGUAUAUUAAAGUUGUUGCAGUUAAAAAGCUCGUAGUUGGAUCUCGGUCGGCCGGCACGCGGUCUCGCGGGUACCGAGGCGCAAUGCCGCCCGCGCUGCACUGCCGCCGGCGACCAACCGGCAGGGGGGCGGUCGUAACUGACUGCCCGGGCGGCCGCAUCCUCGCGGUGCGGUCCGUCCGCUCCGGGUGCCCUUGACUGGGUGGCCCGCGGCACCUGUCCGUUUUACUUUGAAAAAAUUAGAGUGUUCAAGGCAGGCUCUGACGGCCUGAAUAAUGGUGCAUGGAAUAAUGGAACAGGACCUCGGUUCUAUUCUGUUGGUGUUCUCCGGGACUCGAGGUAAUGAUCAAGAGGGACAGACGGGGGCAUUCGUACUGCGGCGUGAGAGGUGAAAUUCUUGGACCGCCGCAAGACGGACUACUGCGAAAGCAUUUGCCAAGAAUGUUUUCAUUAAUCAAGAACGAAAGUCAGAGGUUCGAAGACGAUCAGAUACCGUCCUAGUUCUGACCAUAAACGAUGCCGACUGGCGAUCCGCCGGAGUUGUACCUAUGACCCGGCGGGCAGCCCCCGGGAAACCUCAAGUCUUUGGGUUCCGGGGGAAGUAUGGUUGCAAAGCUGAAACUUAAAGGAAUUGACGGAAGGGCACCACCAGGAGUGGAGCCUGCGGCUUAAUUUGACUCAACACGGGGAAACUCACCCGGCCCGGACACCGUGAGGAUUGACAGAUUGAGAGCUCUUUCUUGAUUCGGUGGGUGGUGGUGCAUGGCCGUUCUUAGUUGGUGGAGCGAUUUGUCUGGUUAAUUCCGAUAACGAACGAGACUCUGGCCUGCUAAAUAGUCCUCCCCCCGCCAAUGGAGGGGAGCACCGACUUCUUAGAGGGAAAAGUGGCGUUUAGCCACACGAGUUGGAGCAAUAACAGGUCUGUGAUGCCCUUAGAUGUUCGGGGCCGCACGCGCGCUACACUGAAAGAGGCAGAGGGUCGAGUCCUGGUCUGGCAAGGCUGGGCAACCCGUGCACAAACUCUAUCGUGCUAGGGACUGGGGCUUGCAAUUUUUCCCCAUCAACGAGGAAUUCCCAGUAAGCGCGAGUCAUCAGCUCGUGUUGAUUACGUCCCUGCCCUUUGUACACACCGCCCGUCGCUACUACCGAUUGAAUGGUUUAGUGAGGCCCUCGGACGGGCCCC
rnacentral:rRNA from 1 species